UUUCUCAUUUAAGUAUUUAAAUUUCUUGAUAAUUUGGUGCUAAAUCUAACACAAAACAGUAUUAUCAGCUGAUUUUAUGACGAACACUGUAAAGAUAUGUAUCUUGUUAUAUAUGUAAACUAAUCCCACUAGAAUAAGAAACUAUCAACGUAUCCCUUUAGAAUAGGUCUACUAUUAUUAUCUCUUUCUAUAAUAUAUAUGUACAAGUUUUUUACGUCUUUUAUCAAUGAAAAGGGAGUCUCCGAUUAUGCUCCUAACAAAACCUUUAUUCCACUUCUAUCAGUUUCUUUGAUCCUGUUCAAACACUGCUAUAUUUUUUAAAUAUUUUAUAAAAAUGUCUAUUUUUUUUUAAAGAGCUGUUUAUAAAAUAAUAGGUCCCAUUUUUAAUAUCUUGCAAAGUUAAUGAUAGAAGAUAUAUUACAGGUAAGAUGUGGGUCAUCUCAGACAUAAUGGCAGAGCCGCUUGGAGAGGGCGGCUGGAAGAAUUUUAACAUACUUUUACAUAUUUUUCUUCACAAUCGCGAUUCUUACGUACGUAUUGAGGCGAUCGUUUGCUCUAUUUGGUGACUAUUUAUGACCACUAUUCGACUCCAUGGUUCUUCUACAAGUCCGAUCUGAUCACCUUCAAAUUUCUUCUUUCUAUUAGAGAGAAGAUCUACAGUUCUUUCUACAUAACUAUUUCAACAACAAAAGACCGUAGAUAAAAUCGCUAUAAUGGUGAUAACAAUAAUUCAGAACUAGAGCUGAGAAUAAAAUUUCAAAAUAUGGACAACAACAAAUCCUAAUAUUUAGGUGAUAAUAACUCAGAUAUAUAUUUGAGGAUUACUUGCAAAAAAAAAAAAAAAAAAAAA